UAAGGAAUAUUGGACAAUGGGGGCAACCCUGAUCCAGCCAUGCCGCGUGAGUGAAGAAGGCCUUAGGGUUGUAAAGCUCUUUCAAUUGUGAAGAUAAUGACGGUAGCAAUAGAAGAAGCUCCGGCUAAAUUCGUGCCAGCAGCCGCGGUAAUACGAAUGGAGCAAGCGUUGUUCGGAAUCACUGGGCUUAAAGCGUCCGCAGGCGGAUUUGCAAGUCAGAAGUGAAAUCCCCGGGCUUAACCCGGGAACUGCUUUUGAAACUGCAAAUCUAGAAUACUGGAGAGGUUGGGAGAAUUCCUAGUGUAGAGGUGAAAUUCGCAGAUAUUAGGAGGAAUACCAGUGGCGUAGGCGCCCAACUGGACAGUUAUUGACGCUCAGGGACGAAAGCGUGGGGAGCAAA
rnacentral:rRNA from 1 species